rnacentral:lncRNA from 1 species
AUAAUAAUAAAAUUGAGAAUGGAAAUGGGGAAUGUGUCAAAGAGACAACAACCCGACCAAAUAAAAAACAACAGCAGAGGGUCACCAACAGGUCUUCAAUGUAGCGAGAAAUUCCCGCACCCGGAGGCGUCCUUCAGCUGGCCCCUAAACAAAUAUAUACUAGUACAGUGAUAAUGAACGCCAUACUAAUUUCCAAAUUGUACACAAGAAACUAAAAUUAAAAUAAUACAAGACUAACAAAGGCCAGAGGCUCCUGACUUGGGACAGGCGCAAAAAUGCGGCGGGGUUAAACAUGUUUGUGAGAUCUCAACCCUCCCCCUAUACCUCUAACCAAUGUAGUAAAGUAAACGCAUAACAAUACGCAC